CAGUGAUCUGGUCCCUGAGCUCGCUGCCCUUCGACUGCACCCAGGCACUGCCCGUGCCCAAACCCAUUGGGGGUGUUGUGAUCUUCGCUGUGAACUCGCUGCUGUACCUGAACCCGAGCGUGCCCCCGUACGGGGUGGCCCUGAACAGCCUCACCUGCGGCACCACCGUGUUCCCGCUCCGGGUCCAGGAGGGCGUGAGGAUGACUCUGGACUGUGCCCAGGCC